GGAGGUGAUUGAUUUUAAUCUUGGGUUCAAAGUUAACUAAGACAACCAAGCAAUCGAAAUAGAGGAGAAUAAGAUACAAGUCCAUUAAAUAAGUAUAUAUAAAAGAUCUCAUUGUAAGAAGGCCCAAGAGAAAGUCACUUGAACAUAAACCAACUAAAAUCGAAAGCAAACUAAAUUUAGCGCUAUGUUAAGUAAUCGUAAAGUAAUUCAUGUAGGAAUCACUCUAUCUGAGGUCGAUCAAUACAAUUUAUGUGUUCAAAAGUGUUCGGAAGCAAAAUUAAAUUUGUGCUUAGAAUAUGCAAUGCAAUGAAAUUGAGUAAAAUACAAUAUAGAAAUAUUAAAUUAAGUAAUUAAAUAAGAAAGGAUAGAAAAGAAGUAAACAAAGCGUAGUAAUAAGGGGUGCACACAUAAAAGUAACUUGUGCUCAAGAAGCCCAUAAUAAAAUGAAUCCUAAUAUUAUAACAAGAAAAUGAAAAUAAAAUAAAAAUAAUAAUGAUAAUAAAAAUGAACAAAAACAGAUGCCAACCCACACAGGGGGCUUGCAGAUACGUUUGGAGAGAAAGAGAGCAAGAUUUUUAAAUUGAAAACCUCUGAUCCGCUCCUAACACAUGACAUGCUAAUUAAAAAAAAAUAAAAAAAAAUAGUAAACCAAUAUAGCAAAAAAACAGAACAAAUUUUCCUCUAUCUCAAUGAGUCUCCCAUUUUCUUAUUCUCUCAACAUUGACCCAUCUUCAACUGUGACAGUGGAACACAGAUCUGGUGAGGGCAAGCAAAUACAGUUGUGAACAUUGGUUCGUGACAGAAUAGAGGUUCAGCGUGGUUCAGUUUUGUUGAGGUGGUCUUGUGUUGAUGAAGUUGUUUUUACCGAUGGUUAUGUGAAUUUUAGAUGGUGAGUAAGGUUAUGCUAUAAAUGGCGGAGGGAGAUUCAAGGUGGAGGAAGGGUCAGGGAUUGAGGGUAGGAUGUUGUUGGCCAGAGUGCGUUUUCACAGUGGUCAGAAGGAAUAUGUUGUAGUGUGAGGUUUGCAGUCGGGUAAAAUCGGUGGUCGUUGGUUGUAAGGUGAGUAUGAAUCUGUGUGGUUGAGCUUUGGAAAGAUGAAGUGUUUGAAGGAGUUUCAAUGGUGUUGUGGUGCACUGUUAACGGAUUUGAGAAGACUAUUUAUCUUGUUUCAAGGUUGAGCAUAUGGAGGUAAGGAGGGAGGUCGUAGGUGGAUGUAAUGUUUGAAGUGGUACGACGACGCAGUUGUUAAGGUUGUUUCAGGCGGUGGCAAACUGUAUCAGGGUGUGUGAUGGUUGGUUUUUCGGUGUUUAUGAAAUGGUGAAAUAGAAAGAGCAAGGCGGGGGGAAAGAAAGAGGGUGGUGGUGUGGUUUGGUAGAAGGAAGAAAGAGAUGUUGCUGGUAAGAGGUUAACGGUGAUAAAGAGUUGAAAGGAGGGAGAAAUUUUGGAUACAUUUCUUUCUCUUGUUUUUGUCAGCUAUGCAUUUUGUGAAAAUGAGAGUUUGCUCUCAAAGUUUUUUCUGAAAAAUGAAUCAUCCUCUUUGCCUUUUGGACGUGUUUUUGUUCUUAGAAAGGAGUGGUGUAAAAUUUCUAUUUUGCUUUGUUUCAGCAAAAAAUCAUAAGCUCUGCGUGAGUGGUAUAUUGGGAGUGUGGAAAGGGACGCGUGUUGCCUAUUCAUUGGGAAAAAGAGAUAUUUUUGUGAUGCUAGUUGUCAAUGUAUAAUCGUGGAAACGAUCCUAUGCAAUCAACCUCUUUUCUUUAUUUUUUCUUUUUCUUUUUUGUUAUUUAGAGAUAUGUUAGUAAAAAAAUAUAGUAUUUCUAAUAAAUUCAAACUAAUUACUCAUUAAAUUCUAGUUAAUUCAAGGACUUAUUUUGACUAAAAAAUAAAAAUAAAAGGAUUAAAAAUAAAUAAAAAUUUGGCACAAAAAUAUCCGAAAAAUUAAAUUGAAUGCAUCAAAAUGAUCAACGCGAAAUAAACUCCUAAGAAACAUAAAGAUUAAUUAGCCCAGACUGAUCAAAAUACAAUCGAAAAAAUAGUCAAUAAAAUAAAAUGAGCACGCCAAGUUAAAUUAUGCGAACUGUA
rnacentral:lncRNA from 1 species